AGAACCCUCUCCUGUGGCUCUCCAUUCCAUAAAAACUCAGUUUCCUGAAGUCUUCUCUCUUGCAGGAGAAAGUGGAGAUGAUCCAUAGUCUGCAACUCCACCAUAUAUUCCUUUGCUGGAAUAAGAAAUGUUUUUAAAUCAACAACAUAAGAAGCCAAUGGAGCAUCUGUGUGACAACAUUAAAGUCUCUUUUCAGCUGUGAGAAUUCCAUGCUUUCUAAAAGCCUUGCCUUGCCUUCCCAUAGGAAGAUGGCCAAAACCUCCCAGAUAGGAGUUUGUGGCAGAAAUCUGGCAAUGAGCCAUUCCUGUGGUGCUGGAUGGGGAUGAGGAAAGUUGCCAGCAAAAUUUUUGGUGCACGUGCAAUAAAAAUCCUCUCCCAACAAAUUCAGAUUUCUAACAGAAGUGAACACUGACAUUAUUGGACUCUUUUGUGCAAAUGAGCAAGUAGCACAAAUUUCAAGGAGCAGAUAAAAUGAACCACGUUAUAGGUCAACACAGAAGGAUAUUAUCCAAGGAGCUUUUGCUAUUCUUCCUGUGUUGUCUGCCCUGCUAAUUCAUUCCUGCAGAGCUAGCAGUCAAGCUCCAUUUGAAAACAGGAUAUUGGAUAAGAAAGUCUGUGUUUAUUACAGAGUUCUUCUAGUGUCUACUUCAUACUUCAAUGAAACAUUGA